rnacentral:rRNA from 1 species
CCUACGGGUGGCUGCAGUGAGGGAUAUUGGUCAAUGGACGAGAGUCUGAACCAGCCAAGUAGCGUGAAGGAUGACUGCCCUAUGGGUUGUAAGCUUCUUUUAUAUGGGAAUAAAAUGUUCCACGUGUGGGAUUUUGUAUGUACCAUAUGAAUCAAGAUCGGCUAACUCCGUGCCAGCAGCCGCGGUAAUACGGAGGAGCCGAGCGUUAUCCGGGUUUAUUGGGUUUAAAGGGCGCGUAGGUGGAUUUUUAAGUCAGUUGUGAAAGUUUGCGGCUCAACCGUAAAAUUGCAGUUGAAACUGGCAGUCUUGAGUACAGUAGAGGUGGGCGGAAUUCGUGGUGUAGCGGUGAAAUGCUUAGAUAUCACGAAGAACUCCGAUUGCGAAGGCAGUUCACUGGACUGCAACUGACACUGAGGCUCGAAAGUGUGGGGAUCAAACAGGAUUAGAUACCCUUGUAGUC